GGAAAACCCUGGAAGGAUUCCCACUGACAGAGAUCCAAGCUGGGAUCCCUUUGCGGAUACUCUCACCAACCACUCUGAAUUUUUUCUUCACUGUCCCAUUACAUUCACAAGUCUGGGAUUAGUUGCCUGGGACCAUGAAGAACUCUAUCAAAAUGGUCCACACUCCACCUAUA